rnacentral:rRNA from 1 species
AUUGAACGCUGGCGGCAGGCCUAACACAUGCAAGUCGAGCGGAUGAAGGGAGCUUGCUCCUGGAUUCAGCGGCGGACGGGCGAGUAAUGCCUAGGAAUCUGCCUGGUAGUGGGGGAUAACGUCCGGAAACGGGCGCUAAUACCGCAUACGUCCUGAGGGAGAAAGUGGGGGAUCUUCGGACCUCACGCUAUCAGAUGAGCCUAGGUCGGAUUAGCUAGUUGGUGGGGUAAAGGCCUACCAAGGCGACGAUCCGUAACUGGUCUGAGAGGAUGAUCAGUCACACUGGAACUGAGACACGGUCCAGACUCCUACGGGAGGCAGCAGUGGGGAAUAUUGGACAAUGGGCGAAAGCCUGAUCCAGCCAUGCCGCGUGUGUGAAGAAGGUCUUCGGAUUGUAAAGCACUUUAGGUUGGAAGGAAGGGCAGUAAGUUAAUACCUUGCUGUUUUGACGUUACCAACAGAAUAAGCACCGGCUAACUUCGUG